UAUCUUAUUUCUGUUAAUGAAGAACAACCUAAGGCUGAGCAACCUACCUCAUUCCUUGAUAACAUAUAUUUUCUUAAUUAUUAUUAAACACUCCCAUGCCUUAAAAUAGAUUUUUCUCCUCAUGUCUGUACAGAAUGCAGAUGUCCUUUACCAUUAAAUGUAUCCACAUAGGUAGGAGAUAGCUCUACAAGUCUGAAUAAAAUGCCAUUCUUUCUCCUUCCUAACAAGGAUCUAAGCCCUGCUGCUUUACCCCCGUUGGAGACUGUCCUGCCAGACCGAUUCGUUCCCACAGUAGUCCUCAACAAGGCAAAAGAGUUGGUCAUUGAAACGAUGAUUAGUAAAGACAAGAUACAACAUGGAUCGUUUGAGUGUCAACCUUGAACCGGUCGAAGCCUUCGCUGAUUGGAAGAUUCCCAUAAACAGUGGAUAAUUUCCUCCAAUCGCCCUGCGACAACGGCUAUGGUUGGGCUUGCAGACAAGACUACACGCUCUUUAAGAGAACGGUUCCCAUGGUCGCCUCACGGACGAUCUGAAGGUUGGCGGAGAUUACGGCAUCGAGCUCGUGGGCGAAGCGGUGGAGGCCGACGCGAGCGUGAAUCCCGAGUUGUAUGGCGAUCUCAACACCUGAGGCCACGAUUUGCUUAGUCAGUGCCGUGACCCGGUGCAAAGACACAAAGUAUGAUGAUGGAUUGAAAUGAAUAAAGAACUAAUGAAAAAAUAUGUUGACUACUAAAUUAAAACAGUAUAAGCAUAUAACCCACAAGUAAAAAAACAAACACUCGGGUUUCCCUUCCACCAUUUUUAGCAGAGAUAUAUUGAGAUGAAAAGGGUAUAAAAUGCAUGUACGCCAUAACGUACUCCUUUUACUUAAAACCAAGUGUUUCAUCACACACCUGUUUAAUUGUUUUCAAUACUGUUUUACUGUACUAUACAGUUUGUAU